AGUCGAGCGAGACCUUCGGGUCUAGCGGCGGACGGGUUAGUAACGCGUGGGAAUAUACCCUUCACUACGGAAUAGCCUCGGGAAACUGGGAGUAAUACCGUAUACGCCCUUUGGGGGAAAGAUUUAUCGGUGAAGGAUUAGCCAGCGUCUGAUUAGAUAGUUGGUGGGGUAAUGGCCUACCAAGUCUACGAUCAGUAGCUGGUUUGAGAGGAUGAUCAGCAACACUGGACUGAGACACGGCCCAGACUCCUACGGGAGGCAGCAGUGGGGAAUCUUAGACAAUGGGCGCAAGCCUGAUCUAGCCAUGCCGCGUGAGUGACGAAGGCCUUAGGGUCGUAAAGCUCUUUCGCCAGAGAUGAUAAUGACAGUAUCUGGUAAAGAAACCCCGGCUAACUCCGUGCCAGCAGCCGCGGUAAUACGGAGGGGGUUAGCGUUGUUCGGAAUUACUGGGCGUAAAGCGCACGUAGGCGGAUUGGAAAGUAUGGGGUGAAAUCCCAGGGCUCAACCCUGGAACGGCCUUGUAAACUCCCAGUCUAGAGUUCGAGAGAGGUGAGUGGAAUUCCAAGUGUAGAGGUGAAAUUCGUAGAUAUUUGGAGGAACACCAGUGGCGAAGGCGGCUCACUGGCUCGAUACUGACGCUGAGGUGCGAAAGUGUGGGGAGCAAACAGGAUUAGAUACCCUGGUAGUCCACACCGUAAACGAUGAAUGCCAGACGUCAGGGGGCUUGCCCUUUGGUGUCCCACCUGACGGAUUAAGCAUUCCGCCUGGGGAGUACGGGCGCAAGAUUAAAACUCAAAGGAAUUGAC
rnacentral:rRNA from 1 species